rnacentral:ncRNA from 1 species
CUGACUGUUUAAUCGAAACAAAGCAUUGUGAUGGCGGUCGACCGGUGUUGACAAAAUGUCAUCUCUGCCCAGUGCCCUGAAGGUCAAAGUGAAGAAAUAUGCAAUGACGCGCGGGUGAACGCCGGGAGUAACUGUGAUUGUUUAAAGUGGCGUCGCUGCGGACGGUCGGUUGCUCACG